GAUGAAGAACGCAGCGAAAUGCGAUAAGUAAUGUGAAUUGCAGAAUUCAGUGAAUCAUCGAAUCUUUGAACGCACAUUGCGCCCACUAGUAUUCUGGCGGGCAUGCCUGUCCGAGCGUCAUUUCAACCCUCAAGCCCCCGGGCUUGGUGUUGGGGAUCGGCGAGCCUCCGCGCCCGCCGUCCCCUAAAUCUAGUGGCGGUCUCGCUGUAGCUUCCUCUGAGUAGUAGCACACCUCGCACUGGGAAACAGCGCGGCCACGCCGUUAAACCCCCAACUUCUGAACGUUUGACCUCGGAUCAGGUAGGAAUACCCGCUGAACUUAAGCAUAUCAAUAAGCGGAGGA
rnacentral:misc_RNA from 1 species